ACAGAGGUCCCGAGCGUUGUUCGGAUUCACUGGGCGUAAAGGGUGCGUAGGUGGCAUGGUAAGUUUGAUGUGAAAGCUCAGGGCUCAACCCUGAAAUGGCAUUGAAUACUACUGUGCUGGAGGUUUGGAGGGGGGACUGGAAUUCUUGGUGCAGCAGUGAAAUGCGUAGAUAUCCGGAGGAACACCGGUGGCGAAGGCGGCUUCCUGGACCGACACUGACGCUGAGGCGCGAAAGCUAGGGGAGCAAACGGGA
rnacentral:rRNA from 1 species